AACACCCACAAACAACGUCACGACGCAACGUGGUUAAACAGUACGUUUAUUAAAGUAACUGGGUGAACGACACCGGAGCGGACUGCAAAUCGCAACGCUACUUUCUCGAGUGCAGAUACUCUUCGAGACGGCUAAACAACGUGUCCAACUCGCUGAGACCUUUCCGCGUGCCGUUAUCCGAUUUCCUUUCCGCCUCCUGAGACAGCCGACUAAUCACGGACUUAUCUCCGCAACCUAACAGAGGCUGGGAGCCCGACAAAAGUAAAACAGCGUGCUAUGAACACGUUGUUACCUCUGCGCGGACAGCGCCGCCACAGAGACACUUACGCAUUGCCGCAUGUCUUUGUAGAUGGAUUCUAGCGUCGAGCGCAUACUAUGCAAUUCCGUCUUGAGUCCGGGAUAGACGUGGUCGCCUGCGGGGAACACGAUCUCCAGAUACCGCCUCAACAACCAGUCCAUGACGCUGCAUCCCCAACAGCCUUUGACCACCGUACCGUCGAGCCACACGGAGUAGUCGUCCUCACGUUGCUACAAGAGGAAAACUACGUCACCCGACACGCGGAAAAGAAAGACCGUCGCAAUAAACCGUACCUACGUGACCUACCAACGUAGGUUUUACUCGAUGAAAGGUGACGCGGAGAUCUUGCAAUCUGGUCGCGUAAUCCUCUGGACGACACUGCGGCUUUGUAUUCUUUAUCGUCGUCGUCGCCGACUUCGCUUCCUCGGAAGCGCCUAGAAAAAAGACGAUCAGGACCAGAGAGGAAGAGACCAUCACCGACAGCAUCGCCGCAGCAUGCCGCCCCAGUCCGCCGCCCAACUGCGCGUCCCAGGUACCACCCGUAGACUGUCAGCCUCGCGAGGAGACACCGCGGACCGGGGAAACGGAUAAGUUUACGAACAGAAAUCUCAAGAGAAAAACGCUGACCCGAUAAGUACUGUCACGGAGAUACGGUGGUUUUUAUUGAAUUUCCAGUGUAUCGAGCCACCGUGAUGCAGGUACGGUGGUUUUAUGUAAAGUGCCGCUAUCUAUAGGCGAUGUGUUCCCUGACGGUGUGUGUUUUUUUGGGGAUAGACAACGUGGUUCUUGUACGUGGUUUUUACCCUGCUCAAUAAAGUCACGUUUUCCUUACACGGUGUUGUGUC
rnacentral:sRNA from 1 species